rnacentral:rRNA from 1 species
GAGUUUGAUCGUGGCUCAGAUUGAACGCUGGCGGCAGGCCUAACACAUGCAAGUCGAGCGGUAGAGAGAAGCUUGCUUCUCUUGAGAGCGGCGGACGGGUGAGUAAUGCCUAGGAAUCUGCCUGGUAGUGGGGGAUAACGCUCGGAAACGGACGCUAAUACCGCAUACGUCCUACGGGAGAAAGCAGGGGACCUUCGGGCCUUGCGCUAUCAGAUGAGCCUAGGUCGGAUUAGCUAGUUGGUGAGGUAAUGGCUCACCAAGGCGACGAUCCGUAACUGGUCUGAGAGGAUGAUCAGUCACACUGGAACUGAGACACGGUCCAGACUCCUACGGGAGGCAGCAGUGGGGAAUAUUGGACAAUGGGCGAAAGCCUGAUCCAGCCAUGCCGCGUGUGUGAAGAAGGUCUUCGGAUUGUAAAGCACUUUAAGUUGGGAGGAAGGGCAGUAAAUUAAUACUUUGCUGUUUUGACGUUUACCGACAGAAUAAGCACCGGCUAACUCUGUGCCAGCACG